UGGUGGAGCGAUUUGUCUGGUUAAUUCCGAUAACGAACGAGACUCUGGCCUACUAAAUAGUUCGCCGAUUCCGAUCUGUCGGCGUUAACUUCUUAGAGGGACAAGUGGCUUUUAGCCACGCGAGAUUGAGCAAUAACA
rnacentral:rRNA from 1 species